rnacentral:lncRNA from 1 species
CUUCAAUGAACCCCAUUCUUCAGCUGGGCCACCCUCUGUUCUCUUAGUGAGCAUUACAAUGCUAAGGGGGUGAAACAAUUUGUGAGAAGUCUGUUUUCCUGAUUGGAGACCAAAAUGGAAAAAGAACGAUAUCUUUUGUCCUUCACAAUAUGAGUGAUAACACUACUGGAAAGAACAUCAUCUAAUAGAUACAGGAUGCUCUAAAACAGCUCAGUGACUGAGUGAAAUGACACCUUCUGAUCUUGGGACCACUUUCAGGUGGAACAAAUGAUGGCCUUACAGCACCAGCAACACCACCACCAGCAGCAACAUAAGAUGGAGGUUGACCAAAAUAGGCAUGGUAUGAAGACAGCAAGGCUACACCUUCCUGGCACAAAAGACACCCAAUCAGCAACCAUGCAUCUCAAGUCUAUUACAAGACAUGUGGAGAUCUACAUAUAACGAGUAGAAUAUAAGACCAAAUUAAACUUUCAUCUUCUACAUUUGAGUUGCCUAAACAACUAUUUUGAUCAAAACUUUAGAGUUUAUCAAACAUCCUUUUGAUACCUAUAAUAGUUUCU